GACAGAGGGUGCAAACGUUGUUCGGAAUUACUGGGCGUAAAGCGAGUGUAGGCGGUCCGCUAAGUCGGGUGUGAAAGCCCUGGGCUCAACCCAGGAAGUGCACUCGAAACUGGCAGGCUAGAGUAUCGGAGAGGUUGGUGGAAUUCUCGGUGUAGAGGUGAAAUUCGUAGAUAUCGAGAGGAACACCGGUGGCGAAGGCGGCCAACUGGACGAAUACUGACGCUGAGACUCGAAAGCGUGGGGAGCAAACAGG
rnacentral:rRNA from 1 species